CUUUUCUGCAAUAAUAGGAAGUUUCCAACUCAUGAAAGGGUGUUAUUGACAGUCACAGUAAGACGUUUGGAAUCCACAUGUAAACUUUGUGAUGAACACAGCCCCGCAUAGAGGACCUGAGACAUUUUGAGGAGGGCCUUCUACGUUUCUUCUCCCAGCACAUGAGAGGUAUGGACUUUGCAUUGAGGAGGUCCUCUGCAUCUUGUUGCCCCUGUGGAACUUUAGAAAAGCGAAGUAUAUGAAAGAGUUGGAGUAAAAUUAAUCUACUUUCAGAGAUUCAGAAGGAACUACAGAUGCACCCAUGGGUGCCCCAGGCAGAAAGUGCCAAAGAUGAGAAUGAGAUUCCAACCAGGCUGCUGAGAGAAGCCCCUUUCAUGGAUAUUGCAAUUAUUUUGAAUUACUUUCUUACAUCCUUGAGUACACUAAUUUCUUUGGGGGAACAAGAAGAGAUUCAUUUUUGAGGGAAG
rnacentral:lncRNA from 1 species